AUUCCAAAGUCAGAUCCCGGCUGGAACAUUUCAGCUUGGCUGCCACGUCAGUUUGCCUACACCAUCCUAGCCCGCUUGUUAUCCAAGCUUUUCCGCAAGAAAGUCAGUGAAAGGAAGAGAAAACGAAGACAAAGACAGCUGUUUCACUUUUUCAUUUGAAUCAGUUCUUUAAUAUUUUUUUAGAUUGCGUUUUUGAUGGAAGAAGACAACGAAGGCUUGAGAGAGAGCGAGUGUCCUUGUGUAGCGACCUACAGACGCAAUGACCUCUGGGUCCUUCCUCUCAGUCCUUUUCACCCCCCACCCAGCCUGCCCAGUGUUCAGACUACCUGUUCCUACGGCUACAGUUGAACAGUAGUCUGCACAUUGGUUAGGCCAGGCUGGGAUGCACGCAGCUCCUCACCUCUGAUGACAACAAACCUCCAUAAGGAUAUGUACAGUCUGUAACAUCGUCACCAUUUGCUGCAAUUUAACCGAUUUGUACCUGUUUCUGUCACAUUAAAGAAGUCAAUGAAGCA